AUAGAACGCUGGCGGCAGGCCUAACACGUGCAAGUCGGGCGCGAAAGUCUUCGGAUGAGUAGAGCGGCGGACGGGUGAGUAACGCGUAGGAAUCUACCUGGUAGUGGGGGAUAACUCGGGAAAACUCGAGCUAAUACCGCAUACGUCCUGAGGGGGAAAGCGGGGGAUCGCAAGACCUCGUGCUAUCAGAUGAGCCUGCGUAGGAUUAGCUAGUUGGUAGGGUAAAGGCCUACCAAGGCGACGAUCCUUAGCUGGUCUGAGAGGAUGAUCAGCCACACUGGGACUGAGACACGGCCCAGACUCCUACGGGAGGCAGCAGUGGGGAAUAUUGGACAAUGGGGGCAACCCUGAUCCAGCCAUGCCGCGUGUGUGAAGAAGGCCUUCGGGUUGUAAAGCACUUUCAGCGGGGAGGAAGGCGUCAUGACUAAUAUUCGUGGCGAUUGACGUUACCCGCAGAAGAAGCACCGGCUAACUCCGUGCCAGCAGCCGCAGUAA
rnacentral:rRNA from 1 species